GCCAGCCCGCCGGCUACUAUGAACAGCAGCUAGAGUUUCUCCAGUGGGAACGACACACAAAUGACAUGCUGUUCCUGGGUUGUCUGGAUCUGACAUCCGUGCAGGGCCUGCUGCCAACGGAGCCUGGUCAGGCGUGGCCAGCUAGUGCCAGAGUCCCUGUGUCCAGAAUGAUAUGCCCUGUCAGUGAGCCAGGGAGAACACCAAGCCUGUCCAGCUCUCCCGGAGAAGCAGGAGCUCACGGUGGUUGAGGUCUCCGUGGAGCUGUGGAUGUUUUGGUAAAAGAGCAGCCGUUUCAGGUCACCCCCCAGGGCCAAACCAAGUGAAGCAGGCCCAGCUAGGGCGGUAGGCGGUGGCGGAGACUGUGGCUCGCUGGACAAUCCUGGACAAGCAAGAGCUGGGAGGAACUCAGACUCAGGCCACCGGCCACAAGUUUCCGCUGCGGACCUAGGUCAUAUAUCCAGCUCGGGUUCAGACCGUGGAACUGUUUUAAGUGCUUCUGCCCUUGCGCUUUCCCUUCGCUGGGCUUCUGGGAUGCCCCUGCCCCGAUCCUUGGGUAAUGACCCCCUCGCAGCGAGUGUAUGCAGCGGCGAGGCGCCCAAGUCAGCACUAAUGAGAACACCGGUAGAGUGGAAAUGACCACGGAGAACCUCUCACGGAGCGACCACUUUAUCAGGCUGUUUCCCCAGAAGCCCACGUGCCGGAACGCUGAAAGUCAGUGGAAGGGUUUCAGCAGAACCGCAGAUGACAUGUGGCUUCUGUUGAGGAGACAGAGUAUUUAAGGAAUUCUAGGUCUGUGGCUUUACACGUGGGCCUCAGGACGGGGCUGAGGGUGGCUAUGAACACCCCGGAUCCACCCAUCUUGGAGGAGAGCCUGUUCCAGGAGGGUGAAGACAACGGUGGAAAGCCCCGCAGGUCCCGGCUGUAACAUCUGCCCCUCGGCGGGUCCCCAGCUGGACAGGGAUCGCCUCUGGGAUCCCAUCUGCCUGCCUUUGAGCAUGGCGGGAGCCUGAGCUAUCCUUGCAGCACAGACCUAGGCGGGCGCUCCUCGCGUGUCAGGCGUGGCUCUCACAGUUCGGUCUCGGCCUGAUGGAGGACAUGGCUUAGAUCUCGUGGGUUUCUAUGCGGUCGAGUAUAACAGGAGUUUGCAUGCUUCAGGCGUUCCAAUGGGCAAAUCACUAGUCAAAAGACAACAGGAGGGGGUGCAUUUUGGAAACGAUGCCACUUUCCUUCAGACCAGUGUAUCUGUCUUACAGGAAGUACAUGGAACUUUAUAGACUGCUCGCUUAGCAGGAGGCGAUGGGGGGACCUGCCUCAAUCUAUGGAGGAAAAUAAAACUGGACACCUACACACCACUGUAAAGAUUCAUAGGAAAAUCUAAGAGAGUGGGAGAGCAUCCUGACAUCGGGGGCCUGAAGGAUUUCUUAUCCAAAACUGCAAAAGCAUUAAAAACAAAACAAAACAAAACCUUGAUGAACUUGAUUAUGUUAAAAUUAAGGAUUUCUAGUCAACAUAUAACAACAGGGCAGACACUUUUAAUAGACACUCAAAGGGUUACAAAGAUUGUUGCAAUGUCUAAAACCAUUGUUUUAGACUGUCUCCUAUUGUUCUAGAAUAUAGAAGGAACUCCUGAAAGUCAACAAGAAAAACAUAGAAACGCCUUAAAUAAAAGGGCAAAGAAUUUGAAAAGGAAAUCCAAAAGAGAAGUCCCAAAAGAAUUAAGAAGUAUAUAAAGGGAUGCUUAACGUCAUUAGUAAAUCAG